CCUGCAGCUCUAGUCAGUUUCUUGUCCAGCUCUACUUGCCUCAUGAAUAUUAAUUGUUAGCCUAAAUGAGGUUCAUUCAAUAGGUAGUUGUUGGUAACUGAGCAAAGUCAGCUGGUAUUACUUUGUUCACCCUGACAAAUGUCUGUGUAAGUGACAGAACAGUCACAGAAAGUCCUAUUUGAAUAAACUUAUGGAUAUUCAUAAAAAAAUAACAUUUCUUUUGUCCUAGUUUGUGCUCUUUUACUCUUCAGGCUGACAGACAGCUGUAAAGCACGUGCGGGGAGAUCCACGUAUGGUCCCGGCACUUUGUCUGUGGAUCCUAACGGUGCACCCAUGGCGUAUCAUGGGCGGAAUAAGCCGAAGAGCUUCCCAAAACGUACAGCUGUCCAUCGAGAGCGGCUGCUGCAGGUGAGAGGUGCGGUCUGCAGCAGGUCUCCAAACCCCGUCCACAUUGGCUGCAACAUCCAGCCAUGACCAAUCGCUGUCCCGAAACCAGCAUCAUGUGUGUGUGUUUAGAGCAGCCGUGAACCGGGUCAUAAAACCACAGACUCAGACAGAAGUGUAGGUGAGAGUCGCAGCUGCCCAACACAAACAUCUCUCCGUUCAACACGGCCGCGGAGUGACCACAGAGAGGAGCGUUCAGAGGAUGAGACCAGCUGUGAGGCCUGAUAUUUAAUGACCAUACAGUAUCUUGCAUAGCUCAGUUUGCUGUUAGAAUGACAAAACGUUUAGUUAAAAUAUUAAAAGUUACAUGGUGUAAUGCCAUAUAUGGCACGCGCAGUUCACGCUGAGGCAUGUCAAUAAAGUGUCAUAUUGAUUCAGCUCAUGCUUGUUUAUUGCAUCAUACACAAACAGUUACAUUUUUAGGAUAGUUAGUCAUCCUCCCUUGUCAAAAUGAUUAAGAAUCAAAUUAAAGAAGACAGAUGCCAAUAGAGUGGGGGAGCUAUGACGUCACUCUGUAGGCGGAUCAGCUGUUAGCAUGACACUGGUUCAGACCCUCGACAAAAUGCCUACAGGAUUUUUCCAUAGGCUUUUGGAUUAUCGCAAAAAUAAGCUCUGUGUUCAAACAUAG
ensembl:lncRNA